AUUGAACGCUGGCGGCAGGCCUAACACAUGCAAGUCGAUCGAGCGGCGGACGGGUGAGUAAUGUAUGGGGACUGCCCGAUAGAGGGGGAUAACUACUGGAAACGGUGGCUAAUACCGCAUACUGUCGGAUAACCCAUAUGGUGUUAGCUAGUAGGUAAGGUAAUGGCUUACCUAGGCAACGAUCCCUAGCUGGUCUGAGAGGAUGAUCAGAGACACAGGGACUGAGACACGGCCCAGACGCCUACGGAGGCAGUAGUGGGGAAUAGUGCAGAGUAGGCGCGAGACUGAUGCAGCCAUGCCGCGUGUAUAAAGAAGGCACUAGGGUUGUAAAGUACUUUCAGUAGGGAGGCGUUACCGACAGAAGAAGCACCGGCUAACUCCGUGCCAGCAGCCGCGGUAAUAC
rnacentral:rRNA from 1 species